GUAACGCGUAUAGAACCUACCCGUUACAGGGGGAUAGCCCGGAGAAAUUCGGAUUAAUACCCCAUAGUAAUACUAAGUGGCAUCAUUUGGUAUUUAAAGUUGCGGUGGUAGAGGAUGGCUAUGCGUCUUAUUAGUUAGUAGGUGAGGUAACGGCUCACCUAGACAGCGAUAAGUAGGGGCCCUGAGAGGGGGAUCGGCCACACUGGUACUGAGACACGGACCAGACUCCUACGGGAGGCAGCAGUGAGGAAUCUUGGGCAAUGGUCGAGAGACUGAUCCAGCCAUGCCGCGUGCAGGAACGACGGCCUUACGGUUUGUAAACUGUUUCUAUACGGGAACAAUCGUACCCACGUGUGGGUAUAUGACGGUACCGUAAGAAUAAGGACCGGCUAACUCCGUGCCUGCAGCCGCGGUAAUACCGGAGGGUCCGAGCGUCAUCCGGACUUAUUGGGUUUCCAGGGUCCGCAGGCGGGUCAGUAAGUCAGGGGUGAAAGGUAUGCGGCUUAACCGUAGAAUUGCCUUUGAUACUGCUGGUCUUGAGUUGACGGUGAAGUGGCUGGCCUAUGUGGUAUACCGGUGAUAUGCAUAGAUAUCACAUAGAACACCGAGUGCGAAGCCACGGUCACUAACCGCCGACCGACGCUGAUGGACGAACGCUCGGGGAGCAGACAGGGAGUAGAUACCCCGGUAGUCCAAGCCGCAAACGAUGGACACUAGCUGUCGGGCCUAUUGUAGAUUCGGUGGCUAAGCGAAACUGAUAAGUGUCCCACCUGGGGAGUACGUCGGCAACGAUGGAACUCAAAGGAAUUGACGGGGGCCCGCACAAGCGGUGGAGCAUGUGGUUUAAUUCGAUGAUACGCGAGGAACCUUACCAGGGCUUAAAUGUAGUGGGACAGGCUUAGAGAUAGGCUCUUCUUCGGACUCAUUACAAGGUGCUGCAUGGUUGUCGUCAGCUCGUGCCGUGAGGUGUCAGGUUAAGUCCUAUAACGAGCGCAACCCCUACCGUUAGUUGCCAGCGAGUAAAGUCGGGGACUCUAACGGAACUGCCGGUGCAAACCGCGAGGAAGGUGGGGAUGACGUCGAAUCAUCACGGCCCUUACGUCCUGGGCUACACACGUGCUACAAUGGCCGGUACAAUGAGCAGCCACGUCGC
rnacentral:rRNA from 1 species